rnacentral:rRNA from 1 species
UAACACGUGGGUAACCUGCCUUAUAGUGGGGGAUAGCCUUUCGAAAGGAAGAUUAAUACCGCAUAAGAUUGUAGUAUCGCAUGAUAUAGCAAUUAAAAGGAGCAAUCGCUAUAAGAUGGACCCGCGUCGCAUUAGCUAGUUGGUGAGGUAAUGGCUCACCAAGGCGACGAUGCGUAGCCGACCUGAGAGGGUGAUCGGCCACAUUGGGACUGAGACACGGCCCAGACUCCUACGGGAGGCAGCAUG